UUUUUUAAAUUCUUGUAAAAAACUCAUAAAGUCCCUACAAUUUAGUUGGUCUUACAAGUUGCCGUUUCGAAUUAUGUAAUUAUACGUAGAAGUCAAAGUCUUCUGCUUUUUUUUUACCAAGAGAAAGUAACGUAUUUGACAUGUAAGUUUGAAAAACUAAGGCUCUGAAUGUUUUGUAGUUUUUAAUUGGUUCUUAGUUUCUAGUUUUUGGAUUUUGGUUUUUAGUUUUUGAUUUUUGUAGUUUGUGAUUUUUGUUGUAGAUUUUAAAUUUUGCAAAAUCUUGAAUGGCAAUUUGUUUAGCUUUUAGUUUUUUACAUCCCUUUAUUAUUAAAAGGGAAGUACAAAUUGAAAUUUUGUCUAAUUUGGCCUCAAUUUUGAUUUCAAUUUUGGAUUUUGUUCUUUGCUAUUCAAAAUCAUUAAGGGUAAUUUGGUCUUAACAAUCUCCUAAACUUUAUAUGAUCCGAUGCAAUCUAAACUGUUCAAUAAAAUUAAUUCCCUUCAAUCUAAACCGUUCAACAAAAAUAAGAAAUUUAUGUCGUUUUUGAAAUCAAAAUAUGAUCACAUUCCAUCCCUAAAAACACUAUAUUCAAUCACGAAAUCAAUAAUCAAUAAUAUCUAAAUCAUAUAUUACGAUUCUUCACUAAUCACUAGAAAUUUAUAUUUAUAAGUUUAGGAUAUCAAAUUUAUUCAAAUAUUUAGUAUAAGAACUAAAUAAACCGAUUGUCCGCGGUUUGUUAAAACCUAGUAAUAUUUAUUUUUCAACGUUUUUAAGUUCUCUAUUUUAAUUUAUAGUUUUUUUUU
rnacentral:sRNA from 1 species